GAGACAGGGUUUUUCUGUAUAGCCCUGGCUGUCCUGGAACUUACUCUGUAGACCAGGCUGGCCUCGAAUUCAGAAAUCUGCCUGCCUCUGCCUCCCGAGUGCUGGGAUUAAAGGCGUGCGCCACCACACAUUUGAAUACAGAAGAGAAUGUGAAAUGGUCUAAUUUUUAAAAGAGCUUUACAACUUAGUGAUUUUUUUUUCCUUUUUAAAAAACACAAUCUCACAUAGCUUAAGCUGUAGCUUACUCUGAGCUCACUGUGUGGGGGAAGAAUACCUUGAACUUCUGAUCUUUGUGCCUUUACUUCUUGAGUGUUGGAAUUACAGGUAUGCCUGUUUAUCAUAGUGAUGGAGGCAAAUAUAGGGCUUCGUGCAUACUGGGCAAACACUACCAACUGAGCUGCAGCCCUGACUCAUUAGUUUAUUUCACCAAUAUAACUUGAAAAAUAAGAGGACAGAGGGCUUUCAAUUACGUAGAAUUUGUUCACAGAACCCACUAACUUACAUGUUCUGUUUUAAUGUUAAAACGGAAAUUCAUAUUCCUUAAUAUCCUUUCAUAUAUUUCUGGCGCUAUGCUAAAAAAAAUAAAACAACCAACAACAAAAAAAGGGCAGUGGUGGCACAUGCCUUUAAUCCCAGCACCUGGGAGGCAGAGGCAGGUGGAUUUCUGAGUUCGAGGCCAGCCUGGUCUACAGAGUGAGUUCCAGGACAGCCAGGGCUACACAGAGAAACUCUCUCUCAAAAAAACCAAAAAACCUUAUUAGGUAAUAGGAAUGCAAACCAGGGCUGGGCAUGGUGGUACCUGCUUUCAUCCUAGCAUCCAGGAAGAAGCAGGCAGAACUUUGUGAGUUAGAAGCCAGCCAAUAGAUGGAGCCAUCUGAAGACCAAACUUAGUGCUUUGUACACACAAACAUGGCAUGAUUACACUUCGCCAGAUCUCAUUAAAAUUUUGAAAUUGUGUGCUGGGAGGUUAAGAGUCCAUUCCAGCACUCACCUUCGAACUCACAACCAUCCAGGGAAUCUAGAAACCUCUUAUGACAUUUAUUGGCGCCUAUACAUAAACAAACAUAUGCUUUGCCCCUCUCUCAAGGAGCUCAUAAAGUUUUAGUCUAAAAAUAUAUUAAGCUCAGUUAAGGGCAGAACUGUCUUUCUUCCAUUCAUUUUGGAGAUACUCUGUAGGCACAAGUAUCUUUAGAAGAUCUUGUUACUAUGUUUUCAGGGUCAUGACACUCAAUAGAUGAUAUAAAACUUUAUAUUCUGAAUUUGUGCCUGAGUAUAUGUGCAGCACAUUCAUGCAGAUGCUCAUGAAGGCAAGAGGGUGUCAGAACUCCUGGAACUGUAAUUUGUGAGACAUCAAAUUUAGGUACUGUGAUUUGUGCAAGAGCAAGGACUCUUAACUGAUCUGUCAUCUUCCCCGUCCCUAACAGACUUUACUUCUAAAUACAUGGGCAAUUGCACAUGUCCCUGUCGUAGCCUAUUACACCGGGGAUCAGACGCUAAGUCAAAUUCUAAGGGACUAAGCAACCUACCAGUUCUAUAAUUUAACAAGAUAUUCAUUUAACCAUUACACUACAACUACUGUGUACAUGCCAAGCAGAAGAAAAGGCCCAAUUCAUGUAACACCAUCUGGCUACUAAGUGCAGCUUGCUGGUGUGUGAAUGUCUUUUGCUGCAGCGAAGAGGAGCUAGAAAGUAGAUUGUAAUCAGCUUUUGGAGAGAGGGCGUUAUAAAUCUUGAAGGUGAUUUCUCUACUUCUAUUGGUUGACUACCACUUUCUAAGUCAUAUGAUAACAUUAUACAUUCAUUCACAAUUAUUUUCUUAAAAAAAAAAGCGAAUUGGCUGGGCAGUGGUGGCCAUGCACACCUUUAUUCCCAGCACUCAGUGGGCAGAGGCAGGCAGGAAAUCAAGACCAGCCUGGUUUAUAGAGCAAAUUCUCAGACAGCCAGGAUUAGACUGAAAUCCUGUCUUGAAAACAAUAAAACAAGCCCGGUAGUGGUGGCGCACAACUUUAAUCCUAGCACUUGGGAGGCAGAGGCAGGUGGGCUGACAAGUUUGGGGUCAAGCUGGUCUACAAGGUAAAACUGUCUUAAAAAGCCACUUUAUUCUAAAACUGUAAUAUAUCUACCGUAAUAACAGUACCAUAUGGCCCAGGCAGAUUAACUGUUCUGGAAGGGAAAUAACCCUAGAAAGCCCUGUAUCCUAUAUGCUUAGGAUCAACAAGGUAGUAUUCAGUUCUUGGAACUUAGAAUAGCAGUGGUCUAUGUGUGUAUUGUAACAUGCCCAGGCACCACCACAGGUUGGCACUAGGAAUCAGAGAUCAGUACCUCUGUUACUAAGUACCACUUACAGUUAAGUAGUAUCAGUACUGAUAGGUCAGAUUCUGGUCUAAGGCUUCCUAUGUGGGGCAGAGGGGCUUGGGAAUCAUUCUUUACGUUUACUAUUGUGUUUGUCCAAGAAAUGUUUUUGUCUAGAUUGCUUUUCAUUCUGGACAAGCAUGUGAAAAUCUGUGUGUGUAUAAGGAUUAAGAACUGUUGACUUGUGAGCUAUGAACACGAACUCCAAAAAUCUUGGUACAUUUUUCUUGGAGAGAGGAGUUGAUCAAUGAUUACACUGUAAAGACAAAACAGAGAUAAUUAUUGCAGCAUAGAUAUAUACAUCUGCAGCCUUAAAAACAUAUGCAGUUCUAGGCCAGGAAUGGUGGUACAUACCUUUAAUUCCAGUAACUAGGAUGUGUUCUGAGACAUGAUCUUGGAAUGCUUGACUCAGCUCUUAACUGAAGCUUUCGGUCCCGGUAUGUUUAUGAAAUCAUGCACAGAUGGUAUGCUUUAAACAGAACUUUUGUCACCAGGUCUGUAUGACAAUGAUUGCUGCACCUCUUUGGGAUAUGUGCAGAAAACUUAAAAUACUCAAAAAUGUAAUUUUCUUCCUGCUUUUCCUUGAUCCAAGUAGCAGUUCCUGUACAGUGGACUAAGGUUAAACAAACCUGUUAUAUUUUCAGCUCCUCUUCUUGUUAAAGGAUACCGUCAACCUCGUUCUUAGGGUUUUUAUUGUUCCUGUAUAACAGUGUAUGUGAGUUCAGGUAAGGUCAGGGAACAACUUUCCAGAGGUUUUCCUUGUAAUGUGGGUUCUGGGGUUCAAACAAAUCAGGUUUACCUUCUGAGUUACCUGGACAGCCU
rnacentral:lncRNA from 1 species